rnacentral:rRNA from 1 species
AUACGUAGGUGGCAAGCGUUGUCCGGAAUUACUGGGUGUAAAGGGCGUGUAGGCGGUCUUGCAAGUCAGAAGUGAAAUUCCUGAGCUCAACUCGGGCGCUGCUUCUGAAACUGCAGGACUUGAGUGCUGGAGGGGAUAGCGGAAUUCCUAGUGGAGCGGUAAAAUGCGCAGAUAUUAGGAAGAACACCGGUGGCGAAGGCGGCUAUCUGGACAGUAACUGACGCUGAGGCGCGAAAGCGUGGGGAGCAAACAGGAUUAGAUACCCUGGUAGUCCACGCCGUAAACGGUGAAUACUAGGUGUAGGGGGUAUCGACUCCCUCUGUGCCGCAGUUAACACAAUAAGUAUUCCGCCUGGGGAGUACGGCCGCAAGGUUGAAACUUAAAGGAAUUGACGGGG